GACUUUCUUCUUUCAAGGUGUACAUGUGGUCAUUGUCAAAUAAUGGACAGACAUGAAGAAUGUAUAUGUUGCAAAGAGAUUGCUGCUUGCAGGGAUAUUAAUGAAGAGUCAGCUGAAUUCGAGGGUAUUGAUGUUCCAGAAUGUAUCACUGACAACCCUGUAUUCCAAAAUUUAUGUUUAAAUUACUGGGUAUUGAGAUUGGCGUGGAGUCAAUACAAGCAGCAGUAUGGGAAAAAUGCUUUUGAAGGACCAGAGCAUAAGAGGCAAAGGCAUGUUGCUUACAGACAAUUUGUAAGAUGGUGUUGGGGAAUUUUGGGAAAAGAAAUAAGGAAUCCUUUGCCAUCUUGUGCUGUUUGUUGUAUUCGGGCACAUUUCCCUCCACCUGGUCUAGAAGAAGAUUUUGUAUUUAAAGGUUUUGAAUUUGCUGAUGAGUGAUGCAGUGUUUGAAUUAUGAUCAAUCACAGCCAAUUGGGUUCUUGCAACCAUGCCAUUGUAUGAAAAAUGAAGGCGUUUUGGAACAUAUUUCAAUAGUAAUGAAUGGUACACUUCCAGGUUGCCAGUGUGAUGGAAUUCUAAAGCUUCUCGUGUGAACACUUCCUAAAAUACUUACCACUUUUCCAUUGGUGUAUGUUUAUAACAUGAUUCAAAAUAGACACCCAC